UCUGAUUUUCCAUUUUUCCUACGCUCUGUAUUUUUUUUCUAACCCAACCUCCAGUGCAGCUUAUCUUGUAACGCUAGCCCCCUCCUUAUUUCUCUCUUUGACCUCCAUAGAUCUCAAGACCCAAGCUGUCAUGGGUUCCAGGAAGGGCAUUGAAAAUGAUGGUGCUAGCCCUGGAAAAAUCUUUAUUGGAGGCUUAGCUAAGGACACAACUCUUGGUUGAUGAGAGGGGCAUAUGCUGGUUUUACACUGGAGACAUUGGACAAUUUCAUCCUGAUGGAUGCCUUGGGAUUAUUGAUAGGAAAAAGGAUAUCGUCAAACUUCAACAUGGAGAGUAUAUAUCUCUUGGAAAGGUUGAGGCAGCGUUGAUAUUGAGCAACUUUGUUGACAAUUUGAUGGUAUAUGCAGAUCCGUUUCACAGCUAUUGUGUAGCUUUGGUUGUUCCAUCACACCAGGUUCUUGAGAAGUGGGCCCAAGAAGCUGGCAUAAAGUACAAAGAUUAUCCAGAGCUGUGUGGCAAAGCUGAAACUGUUAGUGAGGUCCAAAGGUCUCUUUCCAAGGUGGCAAAGGAUGCAAAACUGGACAAAUUUGAAAUACCCGCAAAGAUUAUGUUGCUACCAGAUCCAUGGACACCCGAGUCUGGAUUAGUCACUGCGGCUCUCAAAAUAAAGAGGGAACCGCUGAAAGCCAAGUUCAAAGAAGCACUCGAAAAGUUGUACGAGUAAAACGGUAUUUCACAAUCACAUGCUCUCUGUUCUAUGGGAAAUCUGUUUAAUGCUACCCUGUAAGUUUGUGUAUUUUUAGACAAAAUCAGAUUUAUAUUGAGAUCAUAUAUGUUAUUGUAGUCAAAAUUUAGAGUUCAAUACAUUAAUCUUAAAACUAAAAUGCCUUUCUCCCAACUACGGAAUCAAUGUAUUCACUUGUAUAACUGCAGUAUAAUUAUUCAAUUAUAAUAUAUUAUUAUAUAGUGUCGGUAAAAAAUUAAGUGGAAAUCAUACUUUUAAGGGGUGGAUUAUACAUAAUUUUUGUUGUGAUUGACUAAUUAUAAAAUUAUUAUAGUAAAAAGAAUUAUAAGAGAAAUCGUCCUGUAUUCAAGCCUUUUUGUAAGAGGGUUUUCAGAGCGAUGUUGUGGCUGCUUGUUAAUGCACAGUAGUGCAGACUGCCUUACAGGUCAGGAAUGGCUUCUUCUUUGACUAAGGCCACGUUUGGAAUCAUUUGAUUAGUAAAGAAAAUGAAAAGGGCAUACUUAUGUUUUUAUUGAGGUAUCAUUUGAUUUUUCUUUUCCUAUUUAUCUUUUGCUUUCGAGAGUAAAAAGCAAGUUUAUG